rnacentral:rRNA from 1 species
ACACAUGCAAGUCGAGGGGAAACGACAUCGAAAGCUUGCUUUUGAUGGGUGUCGACCGGCGCACGGGUGAGUAACGCGUAUCCAACCUGCCCACCACAUGGGGAUAACCUUGCGAAAGUAAGACUAAUACCCAAUGAUAUCUCUAGAAGACAUCUGAAAGAGAUUAAAGAUUUAUCGGUGAUGGAUGGGGAUGCGUCUGAUUAGCUUGUUGGCGGGGUAACGGCCCACCAAGGCGACGAUCAGUAGGGGUUCUGAGAGGAAGGUCCCCCACAUUGGAACUGAGACACGGUCCAAACUCCUACGGGAGGCAGCAGUGAGGAGUAUUGGUCAAUGGACGAGAGUCUGAACCAGCCAAGUAGCGUGCAGGAUGACGGCCCUAUGGGUUGUAAACUGCUUUUAUAAGGGAAUAAAGUGAGUCUCGUGAGACUUUUUGCAUGUACCUUAUGAAUAAGGACCGGCUAAUUCCGUGCCAGCAGCCGCGGUAAUACGGAAGGUCCGGGCGUUAUCCGGAUUUAUUGGGUUUAAAGGGAGCGUAGGCCGGAGAUUAAGCGUGUUGUGAAAUGUAGACGCUCAACGUCUGCACUGCAGCGCGAACUGGUUUCCUUGAGUACGCACAAAGUGGGCGGAAUUCGUGGUGUAGCGGUGAAAUGCUUAGAUAUCACGAAGAACUCCGAUUGCGAAGGCAGCUCACUGGAGCGCAACUGACGCUGAAGCUCGAAAGUGCGGGUAUCGAACAGGAUUAGAUACCCUGGUAGUCCGCACGGUAAACGAUGGAUGCCCGCUGUUGGUCUGAAUAGGUCAGCGGCCAAGCGAAAGCAUUAAGCAUCCCACCUGGGGAGUACGCCGGCAACGGUGAAACUCAAAGGAAUUGACGGGGGCCCGCACAAGCGGAGGAACAUGUGGUU